AUGCUAGUUUUACAGCUGAGGAAACUGAGGAAGAGAGAUGUGUCAGAUUCUUCUAUAAUCAACUUGUGUUUCACAAGUACAAAGUAUGCACAGACUGGAAUGCUUUUGAUCAUUCUCCCUCCUGUCUCGUCCCUCCAAGCCUCCCUCCCAAAAAAGCAGAUCUGUUGGCACCAAGUACUUUCAGCAUUUUUUCUACACGCUGAGCACAGCCCAGACCUCAUUAAAUUGUUUUCGUAGCAAGAUGAGGAAAAGGACCUUUCUGAUGGAUCUUACAGGGAUCCUGCUGCCCGAUAGUUUUCAACUUUCACAUGGACUUGGUCCUGAAGUACUGUUGACUUGAGUAAAGGUAAGACUGAAAAGCAUUGUAGUAUUUUCUCAUAAGAAUGAAUUACACACACCCUGUCCUUUAACACUUGCUACAGAAUACUACAACAGCAAGACAAGGUAGAAUCGACAGAAAUAGUCGAAUCUUUAUGAAUACUUAGUGGAUUUUUUAACAACUCAUGAAGACUGUAGUCCUGUUCAAGCUGAUUUUUCCAUUUACGUGCAGAAAUGAGCUGGCAGAAUGUGCCUUGCACUUAAGCAUAUUCACUUUUUAGCCUUGCACCAAGGGCAAACCUAACUCUAGAUAAUAUAUACUGUACGUUGCUGAGGUAGAUCUGUUAAGUUGCCAUGUCCAAAACAUAAUUUAUUUCUGAUGUAAGAAUAUAACUCUUAUAAUUUUGUCACAUGCUCAUGUGUUGUGAGGGAUUUCUGUGCCAAGUCCUGUGUACGUAGUUCUUAUGAUUUCCCUUAAGGUGUUAAGAGAACAUGGAGCUUCUAGACAAGAGAGGUUUUACAAAGGCAUUGGCCUUUUCCUUACUGUGGUGUUUGACUUCACUGCCAUCCUCGCAAUAUUUAUUCUAUUUAAGAACAGUCAGAAAUAUUACUAAUUCAGCAGAGAAGUUAAUCAGUGCAGGCUGUAAAUGUUUAUUUGUUUUUUAAUAGCAGAAAUUAUGUUAUAAAUGACUCUCCUCUCAUCUGUUGUAAAAGCCUGCUGUUAGUUUGUAACCUAGCUUUUUCUUGCAAUAGCUGUUGGUGUUGAAAAUGAAACAUGAAUUUGGUAUGAAUUCUGGAAUAACCAACCAAUCACAAAAUGUGAUUUGAAUUUUGACUUCAAUACAAAAAAGAUUAUUAGAUGCAUAUUGACAGAUACUAAAUGAAUUUAC
rnacentral:lncRNA from 1 species